rnacentral:rRNA from 1 species
CCUACGGGAGGCUGCAGUAGGGAAUCUUCCACAAUGGGCGAAAGCCUGAUGGAGCAACGCCGCGUGGGUGAAGAAGGUCUUCGGAUCGUAAAACCCUGUUGUUAGGGAAGAAAGUGCGUGAGAGUAACUGUUCACGUUUCGACGGUAUCUAACCAGAACGCCACGGCUAACUACGUGCCAGCAGCCGCGGUAAUACGUAGGUGGCAAGCGUUAUCCGGAUUUGUUGGGCGUAAAUGGAACGCGGGCGGUCUGUUAAGUCUGGUGUGAAAGCCGUCGGCUUAACCGGAGUAGUGCAUUGGAAACUGGGAGACUUGAGUGCAGAAGAGGAGAGUGGAAUUCCUGGUGUAGCGGUGAAAUGCGUAGAUAUUAGGAGGAACACCAGUGGCGAAGGCGGCUUACUGGACUGUAACUGACGUUGAGGCUCGAAAGCGUGGGUAGCAAACAGGAUUAGAUACCCGUGUAGUC